rnacentral:rRNA from 1 species
AACGAACGCUGGCGGCGUGUCUUAAGCAUGCAAGUCGAGCGGCAAGCGCAGCAAUGCGCCUAGAGCGGCGGACUGGUGAGUAACGCGUGGGUGAUCUACCUCGGGGUUGGGGAUAGCCAUUAGAAAUAGUGGGUAAUACCGAAUACGCUUGUCGGGCUUCGGUCCGAUAAGGAAAGGCGCUGCGGCGCCGACCGGAGAUGAGCCCGCGUCCCAUUAGCUAGGUGGCGGGGUAACGGCCCACCAAGGCGAUGAUGGGUAGCCGGCCUGAGAGGGUGUACGGCCACACUGGGACUGAGAUACGGCCCAGACUCCUACGGGAGGCAGCAGCUAAGAAUAUUCCGCAAUGGACGAAAGUCUGACGGAGCGACGCCGCGUGGAUGAUGAAGGCCGGAAGGUUGUAAAAUCCUUUUGUCGGGGAAGAAUAAGCGUGGGAGGGAAUGCCCGCGCGAUGACAUGAACCGGCGAAUAAGCCCCGGCUAACUACGUGCCAGCCGCCGCCGUAA